rnacentral:tRNA from 1 species
UCGAAAUUAUAGUUUAAACAAAACAUUAGCAUUGGAAGUUAAAAAUUAGGUAAUCUAAUCCUAUAUUUCGAG